CUUAACCCAGGGGCUGCCCUAUGUGUAUCCUCUUGGACCUAUAGUGGCUGAAUGUCCUUUUUGAGAUCCUGCAGCUGUUGACCCUGAGUGGGAGAAUGCCUUAUCCAGGUGUAGCCUUGUGCACACCUGUCCAGACCCAUAGCAGUGGUUUGGUUGCAGAGCUGUGAUUAUAUGGACAUUCUCCGAACUUGGUAUACAGCAGUUCAGACAUGCAGCCCCAUUGGAAUGUGCUGAUAGAGAUAUACUUUUAAUUAUUCGGAUUCAUUAUAUUAUGAUUGGAUUUGAUGAUUCAUGUAUGGCCCUUCUUGAAAAAGAUCCUGGUUUUUGGAUCGAAACGUCGAAACCUUUGAGGCUACAAUAAAAAUUUUCUAUUGAAGAAAUGUGUGGACUUUAUACACAGUGAGAGUGCACCCUCCACCACGUGGAAUUCUCGUCUACAUUUGCGGACAUUUUGUCUGUCGGGAGCACCCACCAUUAGGAACUUUGAUGAGAGUGCAGAACCCUCUUGUUUGUUUGUUUU